UGAGGAAUAUUGGUCAAUGGGCGAGAGCCUGAACCGGCCAAGUCGCGUGAAGGAAGACUGCCUUAUGGGUUGUAAACUUCUUUUAUACAGGAAUAAAAAGGCUUACGUGUAGGCCAUUGCAAGUACUGUAUGAAUAAGCAUCGGCUAACUCCGUGCCAGCAGCCGCGGUAAUACGGAGGAUGCGAGCGUUAUCCGGAUUUAUUGGGUUUAAAGGGUGCGCAGGCGGGCUUUUAAGUCAGCGGUGAAAUCUGGACGCUUAACGUCCAAACUGCCGUUGAAACUGGGAGUCUUGAGUAUGGAUGAAGUAGGCGGAAUUCGUUGUGUAGCGGUGACAUGCAUAGAUAUAACGAGGAACUCCGAUUGCGUAGGCAGCUUACUAAGCCAUAACUGACGCUCAUGCACGAAAGCGUGGGGAUCAAACAGGAUUAGAUACCCUGGUAGUCCACGCCCGUAAACGAUGAUUACUAGUUGUAUGCGAUAUGAUAGUAUGUGACUAAGCGAAAGCGAUAAGUAAUCCACCUGGGGAGUACGCCGGCAACGGUGAAACUCAAAGGAAUUGACGGGGUCAUAGCUGUUUUCCU
rnacentral:rRNA from 1 species